AUGGAAAGCUUAAAUUUUCAGCCCAAGCCAUAUAUUAGAUAUCAAGUUCAUGAAGAUGAUGUGGUUGAUGAUAAUGAUGAUGAUGUGGUUGAUGAUAAUGAUGAUGUGGUUGAUGAUAAUGAUGAUGUGGUUGAUGAUAAUGAUGAUAUGUAUGAUGAUGGUGAAGAAAUAGGUCAAGAAUGA